AAGUGGUAAACAUCAGAGACCUGCACCACUUCGGGCUUUCCUCCCACAUUAAGCUGACACGCCAUGAUAUAACUGGAAUACUGUUAAAAGCGGCGUUAAACCCAACUCACUCACUCACUCCAAUAAUGUGUAAUAGGAUUAUGACAGAUCACAAGAAAUCCUUGUAUUUAGACCUAUAUGUUGUCGUGUUAGCUUAUGGAUGUUAGCAAACAUGCAAUAACAAUGCCAGAUUACCUUGCAAACUUAAGUGUAUUCAAAUAUUUGGAAUCAAACUUAAUCAAAUAUUCAGUUUUAAACAUAAAAACUGAAGUGUUUUUGUAAUAUUUACUUUAAGUUUUAUGGAUGUUGCUUCAUCAGUUGAGAAUAACUAACUUGAGAGUGAUUUUCUCUAUUUUUGACCCAUAAGUUAUGAUUGUGACACCAUAUACCCAUUAAUGCAACAUGCAGAAAGGGCUCUCUGUCCCUUGUUUGAUAUUUAGAUUAAUUCCCGAGAAACCAAUGCUGUAUAUUUUUGCUGAAGAUGAAUAUUAGUAGGGAAGAUUUGGAGUUCAAGUUUAUAUCAAAUAUUUCUUUGAUGUUUCAAUGUUUGUUUUAAAGAAAACGGGUUACAGGUGUCCAUGUCUCUAUGGCGCCACAAUUCGCUGUGCAUAAUUGCAUCUUUUUGGCACGCCAGAAAAGUUUGAUUGUAGGUUGAAUUCCGGUUCAUCCAGAUUACGUUUUCAGGUUUGUCAGCACCCUGCCCGUGCUCAUGGGUUUCACCAAAGUGGUAAACGUCUGAGACCUGCAUCACUUUCCUCUCACAUUAAGCUGACACACCGUGUUUGAUAUAACUGGAAUACUGUUAAAGUGGCGUUAAAACCAACUCACUCACUCAAGGAAAACACAUAAUGCACUGUAUUGCACCACAUCCUUAAAUGCAAAGUCUCGGAAGAGUGGUCAAUGUACAAUAUGCUCAGGCUUUUAAUACUUUUAGAGAAAAUAUGCCAAAAUAUUUUUCAAAAUGAUAUUUUCCAUCCAUUAGGAUAUUAUGUGUAUAGUGUCAAUGUUUAAUCCCUAAAUGCGUUACCUCAUGAAAUCCCACCUACAUCAUGUCCAUACUACUGCUGAACCAACUUGUAAAAACUGAGUGAAACCAAUGGUUUCAUUGAAUACAGUUUGGUAUUCUGACAAGAAGAGUUCAAGCAAUGUUCACUAUUUUCACUUUGAAAACUGACAAAAGCAUUUGCAUAAUCAUAAGAAAUCUCUACUAACAGUAGAGGCAGUGGCACCUAUCCCAAACACAUGCAGAGGCAAGUCAAGUGUUCACCUAAAAAGACACGGGAACAUGUAAUACAAGUAUGAUAGGGAAGCAUGUGUUUAUGAAUCACUAUCAAAUAGUGAUGAUACCAGGUGUUUGCAAAAAGUGAGCUUUAGGUGAAGUUUAGGCCUCACCAUAUGAUAUUCUGGUAGGUUCUGGGAUUGGUUUGAAAUGAAGUCUGUUCCUGAAAAUGCAUGAAAAAUGUGCCCUCAGUUUUACAAACAAAAACCCGUGAAGAUCCAGGUUAGAAUUGGUCUUCAGCAAAUCGUGCUUGUCAUAAAAGGCGACUAUCAUGAUCACGUGGUCAAUUUAAUGUGUUGUGGGUACAAAAAGAUUGUAUGGCUCCUCCUUUCAUAAAAAAAGGACUAUGUCUUUAAGCACGCACUGAAAAAAUAUUGUCUCCAAUAAAUAUCCCAGGCCCCCCUUCUAAAUGUUGAGGGGUUGGUCAUUUACAGAACUGGUGCAAGGAGAACACAGGUGUUAAGUUACCAAUGUGUAAUAAUACUGAGUUCUGUUGUAGAAGGUUUUAUGUACUACGUAAUACAAGUUAAAGAACACCCAUGAUUGGAAAGCUGUGUGUUGGCAUAGCCACCUGCCGUGACAGAUUUUAUUUUGUCUGAAAAAAAUCAGGUGUUCUUUAACUUCUUUUGAGUAGUACAUAUGACUAGUUUUUCACCCUGGUCAUUAUGGAUUUUAUUGCUUGUGAUAUCUUGUGUUUCAAUAUUUGUGCCAUGAAUGUAUGUAUUGAAUAAACAGGAAUAUUUCAAAUUUC
rnacentral:lncRNA from 1 species